UGUGUAGGCUGCGCGGAAAGUCAAAUGUGAAAGCCAAGGGCUCAACCCUUGAACUGCAUUCGAUACUCCCGUGCUAGAGUAAUGGAGAGGUAAGUGGAAUUCCUGGUGUAGCAGUGAAAUGCGUGGAUAUCAGGAGGAACAUCAAUGGCGAAGGCAACUUACUGGACAUUUACUGACGCUCAGACACGAAGGCUAGGGGAGCGAAAG
rnacentral:rRNA from 1 species